AUUGAACGCUGGCGGCAUGCUUUACACAUGCAAGUCGAACGGUAACAGGGUGCUUGCACCGCUGACGAGUGGCGAACGGGUGAGUAAUGCGUCGGAACGUGCCGAGUAGUGGGGGAUAACGCAGCGAAAGUUGUGCUAAUACCGCAUACGUACUGAGGUAGAAAGUGGGGGGCCUUCGGGCCUCACGCUAUUCGAGCGGCCGACGUCUGAUUAGCUAGUAGGUGAGGGAAAGGCUCACCUAGGCGACGAGCAGUAGCGUGUCUGAGAGGAUGAGCCGCCACACAGGGACUGAGACACGGCCCAGACUCCUACGGGAGGCAGCAGAGGGGAAUUUUGGACAAUGGGCGAAAGCCUGAUCCAGCCAUGCCGCGUGUCUGAAGAAGGCCGUCGGGUUGUAAAGGACUUUUGUCAGGGAGGAAAUCCCUAGUGCUAAUAACACUGGGGGAUGACAGUACCUGAAGAAUAAGCACCGGCUAACUACGUGCCAGCCGCCGCAGUAA
rnacentral:rRNA from 1 species